rnacentral:rRNA from 1 species
UACAGAGGGUGCGAGCGUUGUUCGGAAUUAUUGGGCGUAAAGGGCGCGUAGGCGGUGCGGUAAGUCACCUGUGAAAUCUCCUGGCUCAACUGGGAGCUUGCAGGCGAAACUGCCGUGCUGGAGUGUGGGAGAGGUGCGUGGAAUUCCCGGUGUAGCGGUGAAAUGCGUAGAUAUCGGGGAGGAACACCUGUGGCGAAAGCGGCGCACUGGACCACAACUGACGCUGAGGCGCGAAAGCUAGGGGGAGCAAACAGG